rnacentral:rRNA from 1 species
UACGGGGGGGGCAAGCGUUGUUCGGAAUUACUGGGCGUAAAGGGCUCGUAGGUGGCCAACUAAGUCAGGCGUGAAAUCCCUCGGCUUAACCGGGGAACUGCAUCUGAUACUGGAUGGCUUGAGUUUGGGAGAGGGACGCGGAAUUCCAGGUGUAGCGGUGAAAUGCGUAGAUAUCUGGAGGAACACCGGUGGCGAAGGCGGCGUCCUGGACCAACACUGACACUGAGGAGCGAAAGCCAGGGGAGCAAACGGG